AAGAUUUAAUGUGAGAUCAUAAUUCUUUAUGUGUAAUCUGAUGGACCAAUUUCUCUGUUGUUAGUUGGUCUUCCCCUGAGUAUGUGGCUGGGGAGCUGCCUCUAUAGAUGGCCGUCGCAGAUAGCUGCCUCUAUAGAUGGCCGUCGCAGACUGCUGGUCACCUCCACUGUCAGAGAUCAUUACUUCUUGUAUAAUGUAUCAGUUUCACCAUUGUAGUGCCUUGUGUCAUAUCCAGCAAAAAAGGAAACACUAUAGACUGGAUCCGUUCCGAGGUGACCAAAAACAAAACGAACAUUUGGCUCAAGAAAUACUUUUGGCAGUUAGAAAUUCCGUUGGUCCUAUUCAGUCACAAAUGUUCUGUUCCUCUCCAUAACGUUCCCUUGUUUUUGUGCUUGUAGCUAAGUUCGAAAGAACAAGUCUUGCAUCCAUUUCAAAAGACUUCCAUCCAUUCCAAAAUACAAGCAUCACUAAUUUAUCAUACCACUUAGGCUGGUUCGUUUGCCUGGUAAGAUAUCUCAUAUUUCUCGUUUUUUGCGCGC
rnacentral:lncRNA from 1 species